rnacentral:rRNA from 1 species
UUGAACCGGUGGCCAAGGUAGCAUAAAUCAUUUGUCUUUUAAUUAAAGGCUUGUAUGAAUGGUUGGAUGAGAUAUAAUCUAUUUUUAUUUAAUUAAAAAUGAAUUUUAAUUUUUAGUAAAAAUGCUAAAAUAAAAAAUAUAGACGAGAAGACCCUAUAAAUCUUUAUUAUUUUUUUAUUAAUUUAUUAAUAGAAUAUUAAAUUUAUUAGUAUAAAAAUAAUUUUAUUGGGGUGAUAAUGAAAUUUAAUAAACUUUUAUUUUAUUUUAUAAAUAUAAUUAAUUUAAUGAUCCAUUUUUAAUGAUUAUAAAAUUAAGUUACUUUAGGGAUAACAGCGUAAUUAUUUUAAAGAGUUCAUAUCGAUAAAAUAGUUUGCGACCUCGAUGUUGAAUUAAGAGUAAGUUUAGGUGUAGAAGUUAAU